UACGUAGGGGGCGAGCGUUGUCCGGAUUCAUUGGGCGUAAAGAGCUCGUAGGCGGCUUGGCAAGUCGGAUGUGAAAACUCCAGGCUCAACCUGGAGCCGCCAUUCGAUACUGCUAUGGCUAGAGUCCGGUAGGGGAGUGUGGAAUUCCCGGUGUAGCGGUGAAAUGCGCAGAUAUCGGGAGGAACACCAGUGGCGAAGGCGACUACCUGGCCUGUUCUUGACGCUGAGGCGCGAAAGCUAGGGGAGCAAACGGG
rnacentral:rRNA from 1 species